rnacentral:piRNA from 1 species
UAAAGUCAAGAGUAUUGUUGUU